CCUACGGGAGGCAGCAGUGGGGAAUUUUGGACAAUGGGCGCAAGCCUGAUCCAGCAAUGCCGCGUGAGUGAAGAAGGCCUUCGGGUUGUAAAGCUCUUUUGUCAGGGAAGAAAAGGGAUUGGCUAAUAUCUGAUCCUCAUGACGGUACCUGAAGAAUAAGCACCGGCUAACUACGUGCCAGCAGCCGCGGUAAUACGUAGGGUGCAAGCGUUAAUCGGAAUUACUGGGCGUAAAGCGUGCGCAGGCGGUUUUGUAAGACUGUCGCGAAAUCCCCGGGCUUAACCUGGGAAUGGCGAUGGUGACUGCAAGGCUAGAGUUUGGCAGAGGGGGGUAGAAUUCCACGUGUAGCAGUGAAAUGCGUAGAUAUGUGGAGGAACACCGAUGGCGAAGGCAGCCCCCUGGGUCAAAACUGACGCUCAUGCACGAAAGCGUGGGGAGCAAACAGGAUUAGAUACCCUGGUAGUCCACGCCCUAAACGAUGUCUACUAGUUGUCGGGUCUUAAUUGACUUGGUAACGCAGCUAACGCGUGAAGUAGACCGCCUGGGGAGUACGGUCGCAAGAUUAAAACUCAAAUGAAUUGACGG
rnacentral:rRNA from 1 species